rnacentral:rRNA from 2 species
UGGCGAACGGGUGAGUAAUACGUGAGUGACCUACCUUUGACUCUGGGAUAAGCCUGGGAAACUGGGUCUAAUACCGGAUACGACCAAUCUCCGCAUGGGGUGUUGGUGGAAAGCGUUAUGGAGUGGUUUUAGAUGGGCUCACGGCCUAUCAGCUUGUUGGUGAGGUAAUGGCUUACCAAGGCGACGACGGGUAGCCGGCCUGAGAGGGUGACCGGCCACACUGGGACUGAGACACGGCCCAG